AGAGUUUGAUCCUGGCUCAGGAUGAACGCUGGCGGCACGCCUAACACAUGCAAGUCGAACGGAGUUUUGAGAGCUUGCUCUUAAAACUUAGUGGCGGACGGGUGAGUAACACGUGAGCAACCUGCCUUUAAGAGGGGGAUAGCUUCUGGAAACGGAUGGUAAUACCCCAUAACAUAUCGGAUCGGCAUCUUUCUGAUAUCAAAGAUUUAUCGCUUAGAGAUGGGCUCGCGUCUGAUUAGCUUGUUGGUGAGGUAACGGCCCACCAAGGCAACGAUCAGUAGCCGGACUGAGAGGUUGAACGGCCACAUUGGGACUGAGACACGGCCCAGACUCCUACGGGAGGCAGCAGUGGGGAAUAUUGCACAAUGGGCGCAAGCCUGAUGCAGCGAUGCCGCGUGAGGGAAGAAGGUUUUCGGAUUGUAAACCUCUGUCAUCGGGGACGAUAAUGACUGUACCCGAGAAGGAAGCUCCGGCUAACUACGUGCCAGCAGCCGCGGUAAUACGUAGGGAGCGAGCGUUAUCCGGAAUUACUGGGUGUAAAGGGAGUGUAGGCGGGACUGUAAGUCAGAUGUGAAAUAUGCCGGCUCAACUGGCAGACUGCAUUUGAAACUGCGGUUCUUGAGUGAAGUAGAGGUAAGCGGAAUUCCUAGUGUAGCGGUGAAAUGCGUAGAUAUUAGGAGGAACAUCAGUGGCGAAGGCGGCUUACUGGGCUUUAACUGACGCUGAGGCUCGAAAGCGUGGGGAGCAAACAGGAUUAGAUACCCUGGUAGUCCACGCUGUAAACGAUGAUUACUAGGUGUGGGGGGGACUGACCCCUUCCGUGCCGGAGCAAAACGCAAUAAGUAUUUCCACCUGGGGAGUUACGACCGCAAGGUUUGAAAUCAAAGGAAUUGAGGGGAGCCCGCACAAGCAGUGGAGUAUGUGGUUUAAUUGGACGCAACGCGAAGAACCUUACCGGAGCUUGACAUCCUCAGAAUUCGGUUGUAAUGACUGAAGUGCCCUUCGGGGAGCUGAGAGACAGGUGGUGCAUGGUUGUCGUCAGCUCGUGUCGUGAGAUGUUGGGUUAAGUCCCGCAACGAGCGCAACCCUUAUGUUUAGUUGCUACGCAAGAGCACUCUAGACAGACUGCCGUUGACAAAACGGAGGAAGGUGGGGACGACGUCAAAUCAUCAUGCCCCUUACGUUCCGGGCUACACACGUACUACAAUGGCGAGAACAAAGGGAAGCGAUACCGCGAGGUGGAGCGAACCCCAUAAAAAUCGUCCCAGUUCGGACUGCAGGCUGCAACCCGCCUGCACGAAGUUGGAAUUGCUAGUAAUCGCGGAUCAGCAUGCCGCGGUGAAUAAAAUCCCGGGCUUUGCACA
rnacentral:rRNA from 1 species